rnacentral:rRNA from 1 species
ACGAGUGGUGCAAGCGUUAUUCGGAAUCAUUGGGCGUACAGGGCGUGUAGGUGGUAUGUUAAGUCUGUUGUUAAAGACUCUAGCCUAACUGGAGAAAGGCAAUGGAAACUGGUGUACUAGAGGGUGGAAGAGGGAGAUGGAAUUCUCGGUGUAGGGGUAAAAUGCGUAGAGAUCAGAAGGAACACCGAUGGCGAAGGCGACUUCCUGGACCAUUACUGACGCUGAGGUGCGAAAGCGUGGGGAGCAAACAG